rnacentral:lncRNA from 1 species
UUUUUUUUUUUUUUUUUUUAAAUAGUAGAAAUUUAUUCCUCAAUUCUGGAGACUAGAAGUCUAAGGUCAUCCUGUUUUCAGGGUUUGUUGUUUGUUUUGCUUUUUACAGCCACACCUGUGGCAUAUAGAAGUUCCUAGGCUAGGGGACAAAUUGGAGCUGCAGUUGCUGGCCUAGACCACAGCUCAUGGCAACGUCAGAUCCUUAGCCCACCAAACGAGGCGAGGGAUUGAACCUGUAUCCUCAUGGGUACUAGUUGGGUUCAUACUGCCGAGCCACACAGGAACUCCUCGAAGAGGUUUUGAACAUAUUUUGUACUGGACUCUGGAUUUCUAUGUAAACUGAAGUAUUCGGGGCUACUGAUUUGCUGAGGCAGUUAAAAAGUGUAAAACCUAACAAUGGUCUUAGGGAGUAGGUGUUGAGAUGCAGACAUUUGGCUUGUAAUUGUCAGGUAGGUCCUGAGCAUCAGUGUUUAAUAAGCUUCCAGGUAACUCUAGGUGCCAUGGAUUGAAAACUACUGGGAUGAGUAACCGAGUUCUUAGCCCCAGUGGUGCGGCUGGAAUCUGAGAACAACUUAGUAUUUUGGAGCUUAUGCUCCAAAUUAGAGUGUUUUUCGUACAUGUAAUUAUCCUUUUUGCUUGCCUUAGAAUUGAAAGAGCAUUCAUUAAACAUAACUGCUUCACAUCUGUUUUCAGCUCCACUACCAACCUUGUCAAGGAACUUGACUGAUUUGUCAUCUUUUCAUAAAGAUUCUGAUAGCCAGCUGUGUCGAACCUGUCCUCUGAGGUAGCUGAUACAUAGAUGAUGGCAAGGGUAGUUGUGAUGCUGUCUUCAGCAUCACAAACUUGGUAUUUUUCACCCUUCCUUUCUGCUCUUGUAGAAAACAUGCAGUCCUAGAUGGGCCUGAGGAGACCAGGUGGGAGCACUGAGUAGAGUGGUACAUUCUAGUCCAUGGUGCCUCAUUUUCAUCAUUGCAUUAUACUCUGCAGUAGCAACCACGAACCAUGGCCUGGAACCUGGCUUGUCAUCGCCCCCAGAGAACACUGCUAAGUGACCAAGCUUAGCACAAACAAUUUGAUGGCACAGAGGUAAUUCAAGGACUUCUCAGUAAGAAUUUGCCCAUUUCACUGAGAUGAACUUCUAUACCUGAGGACACCUGCACUUCUAAUCCUCCUCCUGGCUUUUCUUUCCCCUAGUAACACCCACUCCCCACAGGUUCGGCUUAAAUAUCCCUACUGGUCACCUAGCCCGCCCUCUGCACACCCAGUCAUGGUAGUCACUGGGACAGGAUUACCCCAGUGUGGCUCCACUUAACGUGGGUGUGUUUGGGGACCUGUAACACUGAGUCAGGACACAGAGAUGUGUACUUUCUCAGUGCUUGACGCUUGGCUGAUGUACCUACUUCUUAGGAGGUAGGGUUUUUUUUUCCGCAUGUGGAAGUUUGGGGCUGGGGCCAGGGAUCACCCUGUGCCACAGCAGUGACAAUGCUGGACCUUAACCCACUGAGCCACUCAGAAACUCCUAACUGAAACUGUGCGUGUAACACAGGAGGUGACAUUCAUCUCUAAGCUGAGGCCAUUUGCCCACUAAUAUUUUAGGUGAUAGUUUCCACAUCAUGAACCUGAACAGACGAGGAUGAUUGCAGUCAUGGCCCCCAGAGUUCACCUGUGUGAAUCCUAAAACCUGGCUUCUCCCGUAAGGCUACUAACACCUCUGUACCCCGGCCUCCCCAGCUUUUCUGGCUUUAACAGCAGGGCUGCUUGUUUUGAAGCUGGGGAGCAUCCUUCAGGCAGCAGGGCUGUGGUCUCAAAUCACAUUGGAAUCUUGGCUCCAGGUCAGUUUUUGGCUUAUAUUUUAAACAGCAAAUAGCUCAAAGCUAUCUGUAAAGUGAAAAAAACUGGUCUUAUGGAUUCACUAUGAUGGAUUACACUACACACUGUUGGUAAAGGGCCUAUUACUUAGAACAAUAAAUGGUACCUGUUACUUCUUUUCAGAGUCUUCCUUCAGUGCCACCAGGUUGCUUGCAUGCCACUUGAGAGGCAGGUCUGAAAUGGCACUGGAUGAGCCAGUUCUGGAAUGCCUUUAAUGUUUGGCCACUGACUGCAGACUCUGGAGGGCAGCAGAUGAUGUGGGUGAAGCUGGUCAACUGGGAAGUGGAGGGGAGGUGUGCUGGGAGUUGGGGAACAGCCCAGGUCCUUCCAGGGACCACAGCAGCCCUGCUUUAUGGAGGAGCAGUUCUCUACUGCUUGGGGCCCAGAGGGAGCAGUCCGAUAUUUUAAACAUUCCUUUGAAUGUGGUUAAACCUGAGCAGCAUUUUAAAAACCAGUUUUUCUUGGGCAUUUAGAUCUUGAUUCCAAAUUAGUUCACAGUUUAAAUUAGAAAUGUGAUUUGGGGAAUUCCCUGGUAGUGAAGCUGGUUAAGGAUCUAGCAUUGUUACUGCCAUGGUGUGGUUUUGAUCCCUGUCCCAGGAAUUUCUGCAUACCUUGGGUAUUGCCAAAAACAAAUGAUUUGCCUUUGAAAACAAACCAGAAACACUGCAAAUAUAACAGUUUUACUAAUAACUAAAUUUUUUCUUACAACUUUGGGUUUUUUCCGUCUUACAUCUUCCUAAAGAUUCUACCAUGUUCCCCCUUUACUGGAUGCUAUAUAGUCUUACUCCAGGAGGUCCUGCUGCGGCACAGUGGGUUAAUGAUCCAGCUUGUCUCUGGAGGCUUGGGUUCAAUCCCCAGCAAUGGGUUAAGGAUCUAGUGUUGCUGCAGCCGUGCUAUAGAUAAGCUCUGGCUUGGAUUCAAUCCCUGGCCCAGGAGCUUCCAUAUGCUGCAGGUGCAGCUGAAAAAGAAAAAGCAAAACCCUUUUAUUUGGCCCUAAAGAAUGCCAUCUCAUCAGCAGUGUGGGAGUCUGGUAUUUUUGGCUGGUUAACUAGGUUGGGACACAGAAGCCCAAAGUUAAUUAAAAACUAAGGUGCUAGAAGUGAGGUUGAACCCUCUCUCAGAACAGUUUAUCUUGGAGUUCCCGUUGUGGGAUCUGGCCUCCCGUUGUGGGAUCCCUGGCCUUGAACCUGCAUCCUCAUGGGUACUAGUGGGGUUCAUAAGGAUCUGGCAUUUCUGAGCUGUGGUCUCAGUCACAGAUGUGGCUUGGAUCUGGCAUGGCUGUGGCUGUGGUGUAGACAUCCCUAGGGAGGCAUUUUUUUCUUUUGCACCUGCUCUUUUUUAGUGACAGUAUCUGAGGCCCUUACCUGGGUGCUGGGGGACAUACACUCGAGUGUUAGGCCAAAGUACUCCCUCUGUUAUUACUUGUGUAAGACAGAGCUGGCAAAGGUCUUUUUAAUAUUAGGAGGCUUUAUAUAUAUAUAUAUAUAUUCAGGGCCACAUCCGAGAGGUAUGGAGGUUCCCAGGCUAGGGAUUCAAUCGGAGCUGUAGCCUCCAGCAUAGCCGCAACAAUGUCAGAUCCGAGCCAUGUCUGCAACCUACACCACAGCUCAUGGCAAUGCUGGAUCCUUAACCCACUAAGCGAGGCCAGGGAUUGAACCUGUGUCCUCAUGGGUGCUAGUCAGAUUCCUUUCCGCUGAGCCACGACGGGAACUCUAGGGGUUUUUUUGGUGUGUUGUCCACACACAAUUAAAUGUGUUAUAUUAUUCUACCCUGCUUACAACAUGGACUAGUCUAACAUUAGGAUUUUUCACUUGUGUUGACAGUUACUGUGCAGGAGUGUGGGUGUUAUCCCAAAUCAGGAUUUUCAUGUGAGAUUUUCCGGUUUUUAUACCAUAACAUAAGUCAAAGCAGCACAUAGGCCAAAUUCAUUCUGCCGGCUAGAAGUUUACAGCUGAGGAUAGAUAAGAUAAAUAGAUAUGUGAAUGCUACUAGGAUGUGAGUACAGUCUUAUUACUACAAAAGUGCUGUUAAAAUUUACGGGGCAGCUAGGAACAGUGUAAGUUAGGGCUGCUGGCACAAAAGGCAGUGCAGCCCAGUAGUCCCUGCUCUUACUUGUUCAACCAUCAAAUCUUACAUGCAGCCUAUGCCAGGGCUGGAUGUCAGGGUGGAGAUUAAAAAUAAAGGUAAGAUUACUGUAAGGGGAAGGCCUGUACAACUUGAACCCAGGGAUUUAAAAGCUACAUGAGCUUUUACAAGUCCUGCAAAGCCCCUUAGCCUGGCCCAGGCGACUGGACACAGGAAUUAGGUUAGGCCACAUCCUAGACCUGGUUAUAGAGCAUGUGGGUUUUCAGAACAAUUCAGAACUUUACAUACAUCUGUUUUGAGCAAUUCUUUUUCUUUUUAUGGCCAUACCUUUGGCAUAUGAAACUUCCCAGGCCAGGGGCCAAGUUGCAGCUGCAGGCCGACAUCACAGCCACAGCAACACUGGAGUUGAGCUGCAUCUGCAACCUACGCUGCAGCUUGUGGCAAUGCCAAAUUCUUAACCCCCUGCGUGAGGACAAGGAUGGAAUCUGCAUCCUCACAGAGACUAUAUCAGGUCCUUAACCCACUGAGCACAAUGGGAACUCCUUGAACAAUUUUUAUAUGUACUGUCUCCUUUAAAACCACAUCUCCAUAAGGCAAAAGUGCCAAUUUCAUGGAUGAGAAAAUAUGCCAAUUUCACAGCAGAGUAAAAAUGAGAGGUCAAAAAUAUUGUCUAAGGCUAUAGGAGCUAAUAAGGGGUGGAAUGAGGUUGUGAAUCCAGGCUGGCUGAACUGUCUCAAAUGACAGGUAGUCUUGGAGUUCUCGUAGUGGUGCAGUGGAAAUGAAUCUGACUAGGAGCCAUGAGGUUGUGGGUUUGAUCCCAGGCCUCACUCAGUGGGUUGAGGAUCCCACGUUGCGGUGAGCUGUGGUGUAGGUCGCAGACACGGCUCGAAUCCUGAGUUGCUGUGGCUCUGGCAUAGGCUGGCGGCUACAGCUCUGAUUUGACCCCUAGACUGGGAACUUCUUUUGUGGAGGGUGUGGCCCUAAAAAGACAAAAAACAGCAGCAGGAUGAGCAGAGGAAGGACUUUAGCAGACUGGCAAGAUAAAUGGAUCAGCAUGCUGUUUCAAGUACCAGGAAGUCAGACUCUCACUGAUUUCAACACUAAAGGGAAUUUACUGGUUUACACAACUGAAGAUUGAGUAGUGGGCUCCAGGUAAAGCCUGAAAUCUUUCAGCAACUCAAUGACUUCCACGUACUAAGGACUGUCUGCCCUUGGAGUCUGAAAGUGGCUGUCAGCUAGGGAAGGACCAUCCAAAUGAUCACAAUACUUCAUUUCUGAGUUCAAGGUGGCUGUUCCCAUAGUCACCAGAGAAGGAACGUGGGUACUUUGCAUGGUACCGCCUAAGCGACACACAUUCCUUUCAUUCAAUUCCCACUGGCCAUUAUUUAUUAGCAGACUCAUAUCUAGCUGCUGCGGAGGUGCGACGGCCAUAGCCCCUCCUAAACGUUCACGGAGAAUACUGGUCAUAGUUCAGGCCUGACCCUGGUGCCCAUUCCCAGUACGUGUCCGUCCUGCCUGAUGUGGUGCUUCCUGACUGCGGCCGGUGUGCCAGUGGCAGAAGUAACCGCGGCGAAGCACCGUGCUUGCAAAGGGCCAGCCGCUGUAAGUGGCUGAAGUAGCCACCAGCCCUCGCCUGAAUUCCACACCACAGUUCACUGCAACACUGACACCCUGUGGGAGGAGCCAGCAGAACCAUCCGGAUCGUGGCCUCUCCCCUGCCUUCCCGGUCCUUGACUAAGGACCUUCCGAUCCCAGCAAUGUGCCCAGCACACACCUACCGACUUCCCCUCUGCGGGCAGUGAUACACCACCUCUCUCAUCAGCCUCCUCCAGUAAGUGCGUUUUUCUUCCUUGGACCUUACAUUUCUAUUUUAAAAGAAAGUGACCUCAAGCACUGGUCCAGCUCUGACCCCGCGAUUCCAGGAGAAAAUCUCAGAAAAAGCAUAGGCCCCACGUAAAUGCCAGAGAGGCGGGCAGGAGUUGACGAGGCCCGCACACGGUGUGUCUGUUCUUUCAGAAUCAGACAGGGUCCGCGGGACGCGUAACUACUGCGGCGUUCGAAAGCCCGCACCUCCUUAGACGCAAAUGC